rnacentral:rRNA from 1 species
GAUGAACGCUGGCGGCGUGCUUAACACAUGCAAGUCGAACGGAAAGGCCCAAGCUUGCUUGGGUGCUCGAGUGGCGAACGGGUGAGUAACACGUGGGUGAUCUGCCCUGCACUUCGGGAUAAGCCUGGGAAACUGGGUCUAAUACCGGAUAGGACGAUGGUUUGGAUGCCAUUGUGGAAAGUUUUUUCGGUGUGGGAUGAGCUCGCGGCCUAUAAGCUUGUUGGUGGGGUAAUGGCCUACCAAGGCGUCGACGGGUAGCCGGCCUGCGAGGGUGUACGGACACACUGGGAUCGAGAGGCGGGCCACAGUCCGACGGGAGGGAGCAGGGGGGAAUAUUGGACAAUGGGCGGAAGCCUGAUGCAGCGAGGCCGCGUGGGGGAUGACGGCCUUCGUGUUGUAAACACCUGUCGCUAGGGACGAAGCGUUUUUGUGACGGUACCUGGAGAAGAAGCACCGGCUAACUACGUG